rnacentral:rRNA from 1 species
GAUGAACGCUGACAGAAUGCUUAACACAUGCAAGUCGACUGGAAUUCACCUUCGGGUGAUAGUACGGUGGCGGACGGGUGAGUAACGCGUAAAGAACUUGCCCUCUAGACUGGGACAACUGUUGGAAACGACAGCUAAUACCGGAUAUUAUGAGAACCUCGCAUGGGGGACUCAUGAAAGCUAUAUGCGCUAGAGGAGAGCUUUGCGUGCCAUUAGCUAGUUGGUGGGGUAACGGCCCACCAAGGCGACGAUGGCUAGCCGGCCUGAGAGGGUGAUCGGCCACAAGGGGGACUUGAGACACGGGCCCUUACUCCUACGGAGGCAGCAGUGGGGAAUAUUGGACAAUGGACCAAAAGUCUGAUCCAGCAAUUCUGUGUGCACGAUGAAGGUUUUCGGAUCGUAAAGUGCUUUCAGCAGGGAAGAAAAAAUGAACGGUACCUGCAGAAGAAGCGACGGCUAAAUACGU